UUAGCAAUCUAUCAUCAUUACCAGAGCAUAAGUCUUAUUACCGUUAAGAGAAAAAUCCUACUGCAAAGUCAUGGCUAAGAUUUCUGGAUCAUCUUUCUUUGAUUUUUUCUUUGUUUUGGCAGUUCCAUUUGCUUCUGAGAUGGCAAGAACCGAAGCUCAACUAGUAUGUGAUGUUGGAAAGCUAGUGAUACUAGGCGGUCCUUGCACUGAUUGUCCCGCUAGAUGUUUGAAGAAGUACCCACUCCCGCUUCUUGUCGCAAACCUUUGUGUCCCAGUGUUGGGAACAUCUGUCUGCGCUUGUUGUGUUGUCGAAUAAUCAAUCCCUGAUAUCAUGCAUGUCUAGUUGGUCACGAAUAUUAGUUUGCUAGCCAACACAACAUGUCUACUACUUUCAAUAAGUUUGGCUACUCAGAUUCGUCAUGAGUCUUGUUUAGCCAAUGUUGUUUAUCAGUUUAUGGAUAAUAAGACCCAUUCUGUAAUGUUUAAUGCUUGUGAUAUGUUUGCUAUAGGAAUGAUAUGUCUAUGUUUAAGAAUGAAAGUUUGAAGAUAUACUAAUUAAGCUUUUCAUAUACGAACCA